ACGCGGGAAAUCUUACCGGGUCCGGACACACUGAGGAUUGACAGGCAAUAUUACAUACGUUUUGCUUCGGUAAACGCGUAUUAUGUUAAAUAUGCUAGUCCUUUCAUGAUUAUGUGAUAGGUGGUGCAUGGCCGUUCUUAGUUCGUGGAGUGAUCUGUCUGCUUAAUUGCGUUUCACUAAGGGCCUAUAAAUUUACGUGUGUUGCAUCGCACUUUGACCCCUUUCUUUAAUUAGAGAGCGCGUGUCUUAGUUUUCGCUUUGCUCAUACAAUUAGGUCCUGAAAGCAACGAACGUGACCGCAACCUCUUGUUGCCUUUAUACCAAACAUGUUUUGCGUCAAUUUUUACGAAUUGCGCGCAUUUCAUGAAAAAAGGCUUUUUAAACUAGAGGGACCGCUGUUACUUUCUUAAACCAGAGGAAGGUUGCGGCAAUAACAGGUCUGUGAUGCCCUUAGAUGUUCCGGGCUGCACACGUGCUACAAUGAUUAAUUGCAGUGAGCAUCAUCAUUUUUACACACCGCAUGCGCGAGUCCAUUUAUUCACCUUCGGGUGUUUUAAAUGUGUAUCCCUGCGCGCGGUAAAGCCUGCUUCGACCUUAAGUGGGUAAUCAAUUAGAAGUAAUGAUUUCCUUUUUUUUAGCACACAUAUAUACGGCGUCUAUGCCCGGGUUACCUUGUUGUAGCUUUUGUGCGUAUAGAUGUUUUUUCCGUAUGUGCGAUUGUCAAUUCAUGGUGGGGACAGACCAUUGUUAAUUGUUGGUCUCGGUCUUAACUAGGAAUGCCUUGUACGGGUCUUUGGUUCAACAAACCACCCGGAAUACGUCCCUGCCCUUUGUACACACCGCCCGUCGCUCUUACCGAUGGACUUCUCUGUGAGUUUGAGGGACUGGGAACGCAGGAAUUUAUUUCUGCACACCUAUGGAAACUUAAACGAACAGUGUGGUCUAAAGGAAAGAGAAGUCGUAACAAGGCAUCGGUAGGUGAACCUGCAGAAGGAUCA
rnacentral:rRNA from 1 species